rnacentral:misc_RNA from 1 species
CUAUUCCAUUCUUGAACCCAUCUGCUUCUAGGGUCCAACACUUGCAUUAAAGACCACCCUCUUCGUCGAGAACAACCGCCACCAUAAUCACCACACAUGAAAAGCGAAGUUUUAUAAUCCCGGGUGCUAUCAUCCUCUUCCUCUUCUUCCACUCCUCCUUCGUUUUGGCUAUCCUCGUCUGUGAAAUCCUGCAUGCGCGCUGCACGUGAGAUUUCCUGAUGAUCGGUAGCCAUGAGAAAGAGAGAAAUAUUGGGUGGGUAUAGCUUUUCGAGAGGGUUACG